UGGAAUGAAUGUAUUUCACAUGUGAGAAGGACACAAAUUUAGGGCAGACUGGGGCAGAAUGCUAUGGUUUGAAUUUGCCUGUCUUUCAAAAUUUGUGGUAAAAUGUAGUCCUCGUUGUUGUAGUAUUAAAAGAUGGGGCCUAUGGGGAAGUGAUUGAGUCAUGAGGGAUCUGCUCUCACGGACGGAUUAGUGCCUUGUAACCAGGAUGGAGGAAACUAACUUAGGUAUCUUUUUUCCUUCUGCCAUACGCAGCAACAAAGCACCAUCUUGGAAGCAGAGAGCCACCCUCACCAGAACUGAAUGCAGGCACCAUGACCUUGAACUUCCCAGCCUCCAGAACUUGCUGCCAGGACCUGCAGAACUCCAGAUGGAUUCCCCUGGCUGACACUUGAAAGAUUUUUGCUCUAACUUAAUAGAAAUGACAGACUGGCAAAGCCAUAGUUAAAUCAGUUGGAGGAGCCACAAAUCAAAUCAUCUUUACAGAAAGGUACACAGCUAACAAGUCCUAAUGGUAAUGAGAUUUGGGAAGUUUUUUUUUUUUUAGUUGGGGGGUGGGCAUUGUUGUUGCUGUUUGGCUUUCUAGACCAGUAAGCCUGCCAGCAGGAAUUGCUUACACACAGCUGUCAUUUGGGUUCAGAGUGACUCAGAACACUCAUAAAGAGAUAUAAACCACACGUGCCACCACAUGCUUCUGGGCCACCCGUGACAUAGAGUAUAUCAUUCAUUUUCUGACACUUCUUAUUUGCCAUCUGCUCAGGGAAACCUCCAGAGCAAAUUAGUGUAGCCCUCACUUUCAGACAUUAAAUCUACAGUUAUGGGCACAGUAGCUACCAUGUGACAAGCAUAGUGUUGGGCAUUUAACAAAUGUUUUCUCAUUUAAUUCUCACAACAUCCUCAAGCAAUGCUCUCCCUUUAUGCAGAUGAGUUUGUCCAAAGGCACCAGGCACCAGUGGCCAGGGAGAAUCUAAUCUCAGAUUUGUCUGGAGCCAAAAUUCACACAUUUUUGCAAUACCAUGAUGAGCUAAGGAGAAUUUUGCUCGCGGGUCCCUCCCCAAACCCCACCUCCUGGCACACCUUUCCCUGUCCUCUCUGCAGCCUUUCCCAAGCACCCAAGGCCCAGGUGUCCACUUUUUGGGCCUUGACUUAGGUUUCUAUAAAACAGAGUUUUUCCUAGUCCUGUCUUCUCUCAUCAGGGAUUUACCCCACAGACCAUGACACUAUGAUAUCAGUAUCUUCCAUAUCCUUGCAGGUCUUUCUAGGUACAUGAAAUGAGCCACAAUAACCUGAUUCAUAUCAUGGUCUUGAUACUUAGCAUAGCUUUACA
rnacentral:lncRNA from 1 species